ensembl:ncRNA lncRNA:CR45362 long non-coding RNA:CR45362
ACACACGAACACAAAUCGUCACCCAGACAAUUUUAAAACUCGUUUUGAUUUAAUUUUGUAUCACUAUUUUAAAAGACAACUUCUAGGGAUAUGUCAAAUGAAUUUUAAAAUUUCUGCCUCGCAAAUCUAGAUCCUUCCUUGGCUAACAAUCCUCUCCUGUUUUUUUUUUUUUUUUUUUGAAAUAACGAAAGCCACCAAAACUGUUUCGCUUAAAUCUCAAGACUAAAAUCGUAAAAAUGAAUUUUUAAUGCCUGGUAUGUUUGGCUGGACCAAGGCGAUAGAUAGGAAAAGAACAGAUUCGCUCGGAAAUGUAAACACAGAUAGUGAAAGGCUGGAGGAGACAGAUAUUUGGCUUGGACCGGCCAACCAUCAUUUCAAAAUAACGUAUCACGGUCGGGACGGAAUGAGAGUGAGACUUAGAGGGGGUGGUUGGAAAAACUGGGAAAACCAACAGAUAGACAGGAAUGUGAGCGAGUUGAGUGGAAAACUUCAGAGCAAGGAGGACAUGGCAGUCGAGCUGUGAACGUAGUAAAAGUGGCCACAGGACAACAACAACACUGGCUCCUGUGCUGUGUAGUUUUCCCAUUGGGUCCCUCCCUCUGUGGUCAGCAGAAAAUGUGGAAAAAUAGAUGAGAAGCAAGGCAUAAAAAACAUAAAUUCAGUCAAAAAAAAAAAAAAAAAACAGAUACACAGGGAAAACAAGAAGAGCAAAAAAUGAGAAAAGACAAACAUGCGCCGCAAGGAUAAUGGACAGUGGCAGCGAAGCGGGGUGUAAUUUAGCGAGACUGGGAUUCGGCGUUUAAGGACAUCGGGUGGCAUCCAUCGAGGCAAACAACAGGCCACGCAAUUGACAUGUGCCGACCGUCCGAAGAGCCAUAAGAUCCACUCCAGAGUAACCGGGUUGACUGACCCGAACGCGAAAGUGUUGGAAUGUUUCGGAGUGAAGGGCGGUGGCCAGCUGAAAUUGACAAAAGAAAUCGGUCGGAAUGCAGGAAUAUUUUUUGUCAAAGCAAAUGAAGUUAAUGAAUGUUGGCACCCAGAUUCCUGUUAAAUUCAGAUUAGUAUACCCACAUCUAUUUUUUAGGUGGUUGGGAUAGUAUGCUCAAGUGGCUCGCUCCAUCAGCUGAUUUGCUUUGUUUUUUUUAUAUCUUGGGGUUUUUGUACAUAUGUACGAGAGCGACAGUUCCCGAAAUAACUCUAUAAUGCCAAU